GCCCAAAUUAGCCCCCCCGCCCGCCCGAAGCCCCAAUAACAGAUUUCCAUGAGGUCAAAGACACAAGUGGGGUUCCUGAAAUGACUGGGGAGCCACCGAGCCACGUCCCCUCAUGAUGAAACGCGCGGCUAAGGUUUCACAAGCGCCGUCACUCCCCCCGGAUGCUCCGCUGGAGGGGAGGAGCGCUGCCAAAAUGAAAUCCUUGACGGGUGAGAAGGGAAAUAUUGCUUUGGACCGAGGGCACGCAUGCCAUGUUGUUGCACAACGGAGUUGAGCGAGGACUGUGAUCUUAUUUCUUCCCACGAAUAAGUUGGACAAAGGACGUGUGAGGACAUUUGAAGCGUGUUCCCCUCCGUCUUGCUUUCCAACACGCUGCCCAAUGAGAUGCGUCGGAAGCUGCCUGUAGCCAGAGAGAGAGAGAGAGAGAGAGAGAAUCCUCCUGAGCCGCAGCUGGGGAACCUCUCAUCGCCGCUAUAUGGAUAAAGAGUCGCUCCCAUCCGCAACUGUACUCCGAGUUUGAUCUCACACGCUGCUUCCUGCCCGGAGACCAAAAAUGAAAUCCGCCGAAGAGGAUGCAUAUGGCUACACGCCAAAUGUCAGUCUCUCCCUCCCGCUGGGCAACCCCUGUCUUCCGGCCCAGUACCACAGCCUCCAGUCCAGCCCCACCAUCUGCGUCUCCGUCACCGACCCGCACACUUUCGACGCCCAGGACGACAUGAGGGCGGCCGGCUACUAUUCGUCCCGGCCGAACGGCGCGCCGACCCUGGAGAGCCCCCGCAUCGAGAUCACGGCAUACGGUCAGUUUCCCGAGGACGAGGUGGAGGAGAGCAGCCUUCCCGUUGCCAAGCGGGUCAACUCCAUCGUGACACUGACCCUCCCCAGUGCGGACGGUUACCGCGACCCCAGCUGCCUGAGUCCGGCCAGCAGCAUCUCGUCUCGCAGCUGCCACUCCGACGCUUCCUAUGAAUCAAGCUUCUCCUACAACUACGACAACUCGCCCCAGAACUCCCCCUGGCAGUCGCCCUCCGUGUCCCCCAAGGGCUCCACCCUCGCCCUGCCGGGUGACGGCUGUGCCUCCGGUGGCUCCCCUCGCCACUCCCCCUCCACCUCUCCGCGCGCAAGUAUAACAGACGACACCUGGAUGGGUCAGCGCGGCUCCAGGCCCAACUCCCCAUGUGGCGCAAAGAGGAAGUACAGCUUAAACGGUAGCGGGGCGGCGCACAAGCACUACCCCUACUCGCCCAACCACUCCCCCGGACUGUCCCCGCACACCUCCCCCCGCCUCAGCGUCACGGAGGAGUCCUGGCUUCCGAACACCAACCAGUACACCAACUCCGCCAUCCUGGCCGCCAUCAACGCCUUGACCACGGACGGAGUGGCCGACCUCGGGGAGGGGAUCCCCAUGAAGGCCCGCAAAACCAGCCUGGAGCACAGUGCCACGGUCAGCCUGAAGGUGGAGCCGGGGAGCGAGGAGCUGAGUCCGGGGCAGCUCUGUGACGACGAGCACCCGUCCAACCGCAUGGCGUUGAAGAAGGAGGGCUACUGUGGCGGGUUUCUGGACGUGCCGCAGCACCCGUACACCUGGUCCAAGCCAAAGCAAUAUGUAAGCCCGUCCCUGCCAGCGCUUGACUGGCAGCUGCCAUCCAGCUCGGGGCCGUACAGCCUGCAGAUCGACGUGCAGCCCAAGUCCCACCACCGGGCCCACUACGAGACCGAGGGCAGCAGGGGCGCGGUGAAGGCCCUGGCAGGAGGACACCCGGUCAUCCAGCUCCACGGCUACAUGGAGAGCGAGCCUCUGACCCUGCAGCUGUUCAUCGGCACGGCCGACGACAGGCUGCUGCGGCCUCACGCCUUCUACCAGGUCCACCGCAUCACCGGGAAGACGGUGUCCACCCCGAGCCACGAGGCCCUGCACAACAACACCAAGGUGCUGGAGAUCCCGCUGCUGCCGGAGAACAACAUGCGGGCCAUAAUCGACUGCGCCGGGAUCCUGAAGCUGCGCAACUCCGACAUUGAGCUGCGAAAGGGCGAGACCGACAUCGGCCGCAAGAACACGCGCGUGCGCAUGGUCUUCAGGAUCCACAUCAACCAGGCCACGGGGAGAACGGUGUCGCUGCAAGCUGCGUCCAACCCCAUCGAGUGCUCCCAGAGAUCGGCCCAGGAGCUGCCGCUGGUGGACAAGCAGAGCCUGGAGACGUGUCCGGCGCACGGCGGCGAGAGGAUGCUGCUCGACGGACACAACUUCCAGCACGACUCCAAAGUGGUGUUCGUGGAAAAGGCUCAAGAUGGUCACCACAUCUGGGAGACCGAGGCCAAGGUCGACCGAGACGUCUCGAAGAGUACUUCGCUCCUCGUGGAGGUCCCCCCGUAUCGCAGCCAGCGGCUCUCCACGCCCGCGCACGUGAACUUCUACGUGUGCAACGGCAAGAGGAAAAGGAGCCAGUAUCAGCGCUUCACCUACGUCCCCGCCAGCGUUCCAACAAUAAAGACGGAGCCGCACGACGACUACGACGCCCCACUGGUGUGCGCUCAGCGCGGGCCCGCCGGGUCCCUGCACCCGAAGCCGUACUUCCCGCCGCAGGCCAUGACCCCGAUGCUGACCUCCGACCUCAGGCCCUGCGUCGGCGGCGGCGGUGGCGGGGCUUACCCCGUCUCCCAGGAGAGACUGACGGCCACACCGGCCCCGCUGCCCUCCUCCUCCUCCUCGCCGAGCACCAGCCCCAAACUGCACGACCUGUCGCCGUCACACUUCUCCAAGGGCCUCCCCGCCGGCCCCCCGGGCCCCCAGUCCCCGCUGCCCCACGUCUCCAUCAUCCAGGAGACGCCCGGGCGCUACCAGCUGCCCAGCCUCUACCCGCCCAGCAGCAGCUCCUCCUCCUCCUCCCCGACCUCGCAGCCCUCCACGCCGACCGACGCCCCCUUCUCCCCGGCCCACUGCAUGACGCCGGCGCAGCCCGUGAGCGGCAGCGCCAGCCCGGACGUCCAGCAGCAGCAGCAGCAGCAGCAGCUCGCCAAAGUGCCAGAGAGAGGGCGCCCCUCCCUGCAGGGGGACGGCGGCUCCCCGGCGCUCGCUGUCAGCAUCAAACAGGAACCGCAGGAGCUGGACCAGAUGUACCUCGACGACGUUACAGAUAUUGAUUGAUUGCUAAGUGGCCAGAAAAAGAAAAGAAACACUGGCACGAUGUACUACAACAGCGCUGCAAUAAAAGGCAACUUGAAAAGUCAACGAGAUCAUCAGGAACGACCUGUCGAGCAUCUCCGUCCACAGCCAUGCAUAGUUUCCUGUCACCUACUAAACUGACGCACACAUACACCAAACAAAGUUGACUCUGUUCUUCACACGCUCGGACUACAGCGUGCAGGAAACAGCAAGAGGAAAUGCAAGGAGAGCAAAUGUCAAAUGUGUUGUCCAGAUGACCAGGGUCCAACGCGUGCCUUGUUUUUCAUAUAUAUAUAUAUUAUCGCCUUUAUGCAGAAAUUAUCCAAGGAAUAAAUUACAUGACUGACUUUUUUUUUCUAAGACAUGUAAAUUGAGUAUGUAGCAGCCGAACCUGCCAUCCCCCCUGCCCUCACAACAAAGAAUGCUUUUAGAGGACCAAGAAUCGUUUUAUACGUCUGUUUUAACCCCCUGCAGUUUGUAAAUGACUCAGUGCCUGUGUGCUAUGUGUUAUGUAAUAUGUAUAUACAGUGUCUGCACUUGCAUAUCUGGCUUUUACAGUACAGAGAGACAAUUUAACAGAGAAGUGCCUUUGACUGGAAAAUGGAAAGUUUGAGUUUGGCUUCACGGGUUCAACCUCAAAAUGUUAAAAAGUUUUUACGUAAUGUAAUGUAACUUUUGCUGAACAGUGACAAGUAUUGGGUAAUGCCGAAUGCUGAGAGAUAAUGAGUAGUAAGUUGACAAAGCAAUGUCCGUUAUAAGAGUAAAGUUUGCUAACAUUAUCCACCAUAAGCUACUGGACCAAAUAAGGUUGUGACAACAAAAAUGUCUUGAGUGUAUAUUGACACGAUGAAGGGUGUGUUUUUAUUUGAGUUUAAAAAAAAUUUAAAUACGUUAUUUCUUAUUUCAAAAGUUGCAGGACCUCGCUUUGAAUCAUACUUGGCUAGCAUGCUACCACCUAGCAUGUCUGCGGAAAAACUUUUUAUCUAUUCAAAGCCAACAAUAAGCACUUAACCACUAAACCUGUGGUGUCAAUCUUAAUUAUUCUAUUAUUAAUAAUAAUAAUAAUAAUAAUAAUAAUAAUGAUAAUACAUUUCAUUUAUAGAGCACUUUUCAUUGCUAAACGCAAUCUCAAAGUGAUAAAGGCAACAAGUCACAGAGGCCAAACAAGAGGUGUUUUCCCCCGAGCCAGGUUCCUACAGCACAAAAAUCGACGUUGAGUCGCACGAUAUUCGAGUCAUUUUUUAAAAAUGAAAUUCCUACGGACCGCGUCCCGACUUGCAAAUAACUGGAUCUUUCGGAGCAAUACCGUAGUCUACGGUAAAAAAAAUCCUCUCGGUUUUGACAAAGCUUGACUUGUACGACUCCCCUGGAAGCUAUGCAACGCGCAGGAAGCAUUAUGGUCUGUCUGAAGAAUGUAAAACAAUCCAGCGUUGUCGCCGAGGUCCAAGGUCCCGACAGCGACGACGCUGACGCAGCAAUACGAAUAUAUAAAUUCUUAAAUGUUCAGUUUCUUUUUGUAUUUUCAUAUUUAUUCUCUUAGCAUGUUGCUCCGUUUAUCCGUGUUUAUCAUACAGCUUCUUUCACGUACCUACAUACUGUGGUUCGCCUGCUACUUUGGUUCAUGCGCUCGUAUAAAAAUUGUGUCUGCGAACGCGCUCGUUCCAUGUUUUAUAUGUAUUUAUGAGUCUUAAUCCAUCUUACUGAGGGGCGUGAAAGAGGCCAUGCUGAAAUGUUUACCGAGGAGGAGGGUUUUUGUUUUUUUAUUGCGAGUCUGUAACGCUUGAUUCUGCCUCGAGAUCUAUUGUGUGCAUUUGUCAAUAAAUAAGCCUCCGUCUCUUUCGUC